ACAUUACAUUCAUUCUCAGUCCUAUGUAUUUGGCCAUCUAAAGUAUAAAAAAAUGUAGUGCCCAUAAAUUUAUAAAAAAAAAAUAAUAUCAUCAAACUCUUAUAGAAAUUUUGGCGCUUAAUUAAGGUUCAUGAGGUCAACCAUGCACACACUAAUUUUUUUUGGUAAAAUGCUCACACUAAUUGUGAUUAUUGUUAUAUAGUUUGGAUCAGUUUAAGUGUAUUAUAUAUACUAAUGAUAAACCCAAGUUCACUUUAUUAUUAUAGAUAGAGAGAUAGAUGCUUGUUUAGCAUUCUAAAUUUUCAGCAUGCAAUGGUUGAAGCAGCAUUAUUUCACACCAUAAAAAGAGAGAUACCCAUAUCCAUGUUAAAUUAGUGUUAUAGUUAAAAUAUUAUUACAUUUGCUUAGGUUAAUUUAAGCUUGCCAACCUGAUCGAUAUGUUAAUGCAUCAUCAUCAGUUCAUCACUUAUCAGUAUCGUCGUAAGAAUAGUAGAAUACAAAUGGGUCUACUCAAUACUCAAGAUUUAUGGCCUUUAAGCCUAAGUUAAGAAGAACUAACUAACAAAAUACGAAUCCAUAGAGGAUACUCCUUUUAUUUAUGGUCUUUUUCAUCUAUAUAUAAAUUUAUAUACCAAAAGGAUAUACGUUUCUUGUCCUAGACUUUUUUUCUUUUGUUAACCCAUGGCUCCGUAGUUAGGCUCAGUUUCACGUAAACGAGUUAAAUAUAUUAGUAUUCAACAUAGAAGUCGUAGCACCAUUACAUUCAUUCUCAAUCCUAUGUAUUUGGCCAUCUAAAGUAUAAAAAAUGUAGUGCCCAUAAAUUUAUAUACAAUUUUUUUAAUAUCAUCAAACUCUUAUAGAAAAUUUGGCGCUUAGUUAAAGCUUCAUGAGGUCAAUCAUGCUCACAUUAAUUGUGGUUAUUGUUAUAUAGUUUGAAUCAGUAUAAGUAAUAAGUGUAUUAAUCAGUAUAAGUAAUAAGUGUAUUAUAUAUACUAAUGAUAAACCCAAGUUCACUUUAAUAUCAUAGAUAUAUAGAUAGUUAGAUGCUUGUUUAGCAUUCUAAAUUUUCAGCAUGCAAUGGUGAAGCAGCAUUAUUUCAUACCAUAAAAGGAGCGCUACCCAUAUCCAUGUUAAAUUAUAGUUAUAUUUAAAAUAUAUUACGUUUGCUUAGGUUAAUUUAAGCUUGCCAACCUGAUCGAUAUGUUAAUGCAUCAUCAUCAGUUCAUCGCUUAUCAGUAUAUCUAAUACAAAUGGGUCUACUCAAUACUCAAGAUUUAUGGCCUUUAAGCCUAAGUUAAGAAGAACUAACUAACAAAAUACGAAUCCCUAGAGCCUAUAAUUAAUUUCUUGUCCAAAUCAUUUCAUCAUAAAAACAAUAUUUAUCGCAUAUGAAAUAGCAUGAUUCAUACAUAAUAGAGUUCAAAUAUUCUAAAUAAAUACGAUCCUAUAUUACAUAAGAUAUGAAAACAUAUGUCAAAAAUAUCAAAAUUAAACAUUGACAAUAUAUCAUAAAAGAAAACAAAAAGCAAAAACGCUUUGUAGAACAUCAGGUUUAGACUAAACCGUUUAGUUCAGCACCAAAACUAAAAAAUUACCGUGGUAAAGAGUAAAGACAUGUCCGAGUUAAAUUAGAAAAAAUAAUGUAAAUUACAAAACACAAGUGACACCGCCUGUUGAAACCUCCAUGUGAUCUCUCUUGCUUCGGUCUUUGUCUUGUCUUGUCUAACUCCAAACAAUUGAAGCUUGCCGUGUCUUUCUUCAUUGCCUUCAAUCACUUACCAAAGUCACAUCCAUUAUGAACCCCCUUGAUGCUCUAGGGCACACGCACACUUCUCCCCACAUUUAAUUCACUUUCUCCUCCUCCUCCUCAGCCUCUCGUUUGCAAUCAAAGUUUCAGUGGCAGGAAACGCUAGAGUUGAUUGCGCUUUACAUACUUGUUUAAACUAGUCAUCAUGGCUAGGAAAGGAAGAGUGGAUCACAACCAAACCAAGCAACGUAAAAAAACUUCUCUGUCUGAAAAGGAACAAGGGAAAGCUAGUGAGACUGAGAGUGUCCUGAAACAGAAUCCCCAAGAAGAUAUACAUACAACAAGUAUCCCAGUUUGUGAAACGUCUGAAAGAGACAUGGAUCAUGCAGUAGAUACAGACUUAGCUGGAGAUAGUAAACCUCCUGGUUCUGUAACAGAAGAAGAAGCUAGAUACAUUCCUUUUGGUCGUGAACACAUCAACUGUUUUAUGAGAAGCUUGCUUGAUAUUUUGAGCACCAACAGCCCCUCUGAGAACAUUGCGCUAUCAGGAAACUGAGGAUACCAUUGAAUCAGUGGAUGGAAAGAAACAGGCCUUUGAUAGUUUCUCUCAAAUCAAGAGCAUAUAAAGCUCGUGACAUUGUUGCAAAGAAGAUUCGGCAAGCGUCCCAUGCUGGAACAUAGCUUCCAUAUGAUUUUCCUUUGUAUAGAAUCAGGCAAUACCUAGAGGGGCCAGCAAGGGAGAUCAGAGAUGGGAAAAACUGGAUGCAAGUUGAUAAAAUCAUUACCUCAUAAGCGUUCUGAAGUUUCUUAAAAGCUUCAGCUGCUCUCUCAUUCCCCAACAUGGCAAGAACCUCGGUAUGCAUCAUACCUUCUGAGAGGAAUGCUGAAGCCUCCUAACGUUCCAUGUGAACACGAACGUGGCAGGUGCAAAACGAGGAACAAGUGGUUCAUCAGGGCAAAGAGGAGGAAACCAGAGGAUGCCUAAUGGGAACAUGGACGAAACAAUGACUUAGGAAGAGUUCUAUGAGUGGUUGCAGAACGCCGCGCAAGCUGGUAUGUUUGAUAAUGCUGCCGAGAGCUCUCCUUCACCAAGUGCCAGUAGCACUAGUACUAGUAGUAGUAGCAAGAAGAACAAAAAGGGGAAGAAGCAAUGGUGAGCACUGACCAGUGUUGUUUCAUAUAUUAACAUGAUGAAAAUUUUGUAGCUUUUUUAAGGAAAUUAUACUAUUGCCUUUGAUAACUUUUAUUUAUACAUAGAAAAAAAGCUCUCGGAAGAAAGCUGAUUGAUAAAUUCAA